rnacentral:tRNA from 1 species
GCUCCGGUAGCUCAGUGGAAGGAAGAGCUGCCCACGGAUUGGGUGAAGAUGUGGGUUCAAAUCCCACCCGGGUCU